rnacentral:rRNA from 1 species
UAGGCUGAAAUUCGCCUACAUGAAGCCGGAAUUGCUAGUAAUGGCAGGUCAGCAUACUGCCGUGAAUACGUUCCCGGGCCUUGUACACACCGCCCGUCACACCAUGAGAGUUGGGGAUACCCGAAGCCUGUGAGCCAACUAUAUAGAGGCAGCAGUCGAAGGUAGAGUCAAUGAUUGGGGUGAAGUCGUAACAAGGUACC